rnacentral:rRNA from 1 species
GAUGAACGCUAGCGGCAGGCUUAACACAUGCAAGUCGAGGGGCAGCGAGAUGUAGCAAUACAUUGUCGGCGACCGGCGUAAGGGUGCGUAACACGUGAGUAACUUGCCCGUAACAGGGGGAUAAGCGAUGGAAACGUCGUCUAAUACCCCAUAAUAAUUGUUAUCGCAUGAUGAUGAUUUGAAAAUUCCGAUGGUUACGGAUAGACUCGCGUUACAUUAGCUAGUUGGUGAGGUAACGGCUCACCAAGGCGACGAUGUAUAGGGGUUCUGAGAGGAAGAUCCCCCACACUGGAACUGAGACACGGUCCAGACUCCUACGGGAGGCAGCAGUGAGGAAUAUUGGACAAUGGAGGGAACUCUGAUCCAGCCAUGCCGCGUGAAGGACUAAGGCCCUAUGGGUCGUAAACUUCUUUUGACGCAGAGCAAUAAGAGAUACGAGUAUUUUGAUGAGAGUAUGCGUCGAAUAAGCAUCGGCUAACUCCGUGCCAGCAGCCGCGGUAAUACGGAGGAUGCGAGCGUUAUCCGGAUUUAUUGGGUUUAAAGGGUGCGUAGGCGGUUGUGCAAGUCAGUGGUGAAAUACGAACGCUCAACGUUCGGGCUGCCAUUGAAACUGUACGGCUAGAGUUCGGAUGCCGUGGGAGGAAUGAGUAGUGUAGCGGUGAAAUGCAUAGAUAUUACUCAGAACACCGAUUGCGAAAGCAUCUCACGAAUGCGAAACUGACGCUGAUGCACGAAAGCGUGGGGAUCAAACAGGAUUAGAUACCCUGGUAGUCCACGCUGUAAACGAUGAUAACUAACUGCCGGCGAUAAACGGUCGGUGGCCAAGCGAAAGCGAUAAGUUAUCCACCUGGGGAGUACGACCGCAAGGUUGAAACUCAAAGGAAUUGACGGGGGCCCGCACAAGCGGAGGAACAUGUGGUUUAAUUCGAUGAUACGCGAGGAACCUUACCCAGGCUCGAACGGCAUAUGAAUAUUGCAGAGAUGUGAUAGUCUUCGGACAUAUGUCGAGGUGCUGCAUGGUUGUCGUCAGCUCGUGCCGUGAGGUGUCGGCUUAAGUGCCAUAACGAGCGCAACCCUUGUCGUUAGUUACCAUCAAGUAAAGUUGGGGACUCUAACGAGACUGCCACCGCAAGGUGUGAGGAAGGGGGGGAUGACGUCAAAUCAGCACGGCCCUUACGUCUGGGGCGACACACGUGUUACAAUGGUAGGUACAGAGGGCAGCUAUUGAGUGAUCAAGUGCAAAUCUCAAAAACCUAUCUCAGUUCGGACUGGAGUCUGCAACCCGACUCCACGAAGCUGGAUUCGCUAGUAAUCGCGCAUCAGCCAUGGCGCGGUGAAUACGUUCCCGGGCCU